CACAGGUGCUGCAUGGCCGUCGUCAGCUCGUGCCGUGAGGUGUUGGGUUAAGUCCCGCAACGAGCGCAACCCCGCCGUUAGUUGCCAGCGGUUCGGCCGGGCACUCUAACGGGACUGCCCGCGAAAAGCGGGAGGAAGGAGGGGACGACGUCUGGUCAGCAUGGCCCUUACGGCCUGGGCGACACACGUGCUACAAUGCCCACUACAAAGCGAUGCCACCCGGCAACGGGGAGCUAAUCGCAAAAAGGUGGGCCCAGUUCGGAUUGGGGUCUGCAACCCGACCCCAUGAAGCCGGAAUCGCUAGUAAUCGCGGAUCAGCCAUGCCGCGGUGAAUACGUUCCCGGGCCUU
rnacentral:rRNA from 1 species